AAUCAACGCUGGCGGCGUGCCUAACACAUGCAAGUCGAACGAGAAAGUGACUUCGGUCACUGGAUAGUGGCGUCCGGGUGAGUAACACGUAGGUAAUCUACCUUCGGGUGGGGAAUAACUCGCCGAAAGGCGAGCUAAUACCGCAUAAUGCAGCGGCACCUAAUGGUGAUUAGUUGUUAAAGCGGGGGAUCUUCGGACCUCGCGCCUGAAGAGGAGCCUGCGGCAGAUAGCUAGUUGGUGAGGUAAUGGCUCACCAAGGCUUCGAUCUGUAGCUGGUCUGAGAGGACGGCCAGCCACACUGGCACUGACACACGGGCCA
rnacentral:rRNA from 1 species